rnacentral:rRNA from 1 species
AUUGAACGCUGGCGGCAGGCCUAACACAUGCAGUCGCGCGGAUGAAGGGAGCUUGCUCCUGGAUUCAGCGGCGGACGGGUGAGUAAUGCCUAGGAAUCUGCCUGGUAGUGGGGGAUAACGUCCGGAAACGGGCGCUAAUACCGCAUACGUCCUGAGGGAGAAAGUGGGGGAUCUUCGGACCUCACGCUAUCAGAUGAGCCUAGGUCGGAUUAGCUAGUUGGUGGGGUAAAGGCCUACCAAGGCGACGAUCCGUAACUGGUCUGAGAAGAUGAUCAGUCACACUGGAACUGAGACACGGUCCAGACUCCUACGGGAGGCAGCAGUGGGGAAUAUUGGACAAUGGGCGAAAGCCUGAUCCAGCCAUGCCGCGUGUGUGAAGAAGGUCUUCGGAUUGUAAAGCACUUUAAGUUGGGAGGAAGGGCAGUAAGUUAAUACCUUGCUGUUUUGACGUUACCAACAGAAUAAGCACCGGCUAACUUCGUG